rnacentral:rRNA from 1 species
UACGUAGGUGGCAAGCGUUGUCCGGAGUUAUUGGGCGUAAAGCGCGCGCAGGCGGUGCGGUAAGUCUCUGGUGAAAGCGCUCGGCUUAACUGGGCGAGGGCCGGGGAGACUGCCACGCUGGAGGGGAGCAGAGGCGAGUGGAAUUCCGGGUGUAGUGGUGAAAUGCGUGGAGAUCCGGAGGAACACCAGUGGCGAAGGCGGCUCGCUGGGCUCUACCUGACGCUGAGGCGCGAAAGCGUGGGGAGCGAACCGG